rnacentral:sRNA from 1 species
UGUUUACAUUGUCAGGCUGCAUUGCCACUAGGGGGAGCCAUAGCUCUUUAUCAUCCCAGCCAGGGUGGCUGUGGCAGCUUCUGCCUGGCAGAUCUGCAACCAGGCCUUGCAGAUGCACGGGGGCUACGGCUACCUGAAGGAUUACGCUGUUCAGCAGUACGUGCGGGACUCCAGGGUCCACCAGAUUCUAGAAGAGCUGUUCUGGCAGCGGCCUGGAGUCCAGAGCCGCAGCUUCGUCCCUGUGGGGGGCCUCAGAUCGCCCUGCUGCUGCCCUUUUCCUCUGGAGAUCUGCGAGAAGGGUGAACUGAGAUAAUGGAUGAGAAAGCAUGUUGAAAACCACAGCCGGGGCUUUUCUCUAAGGUUAUCGAGUACGUGGUUCUCAGGGAUCCAAGAACAGUGGUGGACAAGGCAAAUGUGAGCCAGUAUGGUCAUCAGUAGCUCUAUAUUGAUUAUCAGCCAGAUGGCCUAAAAGAUACCUGUCUCAAUAUUACUAGUGUAUUUUUCAAUAAAAUAAACCAUCAGUAUAUGGGUAUCUUCUUGGUAGUCACAGACAUUCUAUCUAGGAAACAUGGAAGCCGUUGGGGUCGGGCUCGGAGCCUGGCUGUCUCCACUCUCUACAGCCAGUGCGGAAGUCUUGAAAUGACACGACUCUUGGAAAAGCAGGAGGGGCAGAGGCUUCUUUGAGUGACUUCGGUGAAGCAACGUGAGGCUGCCUUGCUGGAAACAUUAUAUAAUGGGGCUUCCCUGCCCCUUUCACAGCACGCUUCUCAAACCUCAGCCUGUGCUGGAAUCGCCUGGAGGGCGUGGGAGCGCAGAUUGCGGGCCUCAACCCCAGAGCUUCUGCUCCAGAGGGUCUAGUGUGGGCCUGGGAAUUUGUAUCUGCAACAAGUCUUCAAGUGAGGCUGCCACAGCUUGUCUGAGAACCACACUUUGAGACCCACCGCUCUGGUGUUAAUGUCAGAGUCACAGGCUACCACAGGUUAGACUGCUGCUUGCUUCUGCAAACCUCAUUCCAGAAAGAUGUUUAUGGGCUCAGUCGCCAGUGUUCAAACUGAAUUCCCGAGAGUCGUUUUCCUUCCAUUACUCUUGGAAUUGCUUUCUCACUGAGCUUUAUGCGCAGGAAACUUCGCCUUCAUUCUAACUCUCUCUCCACCCUGCAAUCAUAAGCAGGAAAACAUUUAUUUUAGGCCACACCAUCACCCACUUACAGAAGAAUUGGGGCACUCAUCACUGUAUCACUGUUUCAUCAUGGACUUUACUGUUGGAUAAAUCUACAGUUUAUGCUUUAUUUGAGACGAUGUGACUACUGAUUCCUUGAGGGGGUUUAUAUUUCUUUUUGCAUAAAGGCCACUGCUAAAAAUGAAGCAAAUAAUUGAUACCCUCCUUUCAGGGAAAAUGUUUUCAUUCUUUUGUAAAUCAGUUUUCUGAUUACCAAAGAAAUGUGUAUUUAUUGUUGAAACCUUAUAAAAUUAGGAAAAGU